UACAGGGGGUGCAAACGUUGCUCGGAAUCAUUGGGCGUAAAGCGCACGUAGGCGGUCUGUUAUGUCGGAUGUGAAAGCCCACGGCUCAACCGUGGAAGUGCAUCCGAAACUGCAUGGCUCGAGUCUCGGAGAGGAAGGUGGAAUGCUUGGUGUAGAGGUGAAAUUCGUAGAUAUCAAGCAGAACACCUGCGGCGAAGGCGGCCUUCUGGACGAUGACUGACGCUGAGACGCGAAAGCGUGGGGAGCAAACAGG
rnacentral:rRNA from 1 species